rnacentral:tRNA from 1 species
GAGCCGCUAGCUCAGUCGGUAGAGCAUCGGCCUUUUAAGCCGAGGGUCCUGGGUUCGAUCCCCAGGCGGCUCA